rnacentral:rRNA from 1 species
UACGAAGGGGGCUAGCGUUGUUCGGAAUCACUGGGCGUAAAGCGCACGUAGGCGGACUCUUAAGUCAGGGGUGAAAUCCUGGAGCUCAACUCCAGAACUGCCUUUGAUACUGGGAGUCUUGAGACCGGGAGAGGUGAGUGGAAUUCCCAGUGUAGCGGUGAAAUGCGUAGAUAUUGGGAGGAACACCAGUGGCGAAGGCGGCUCACUGGACCGGAACUGACGCUGAUGCGCGAAAGCGUGGGGAGCAAACAGG